GAGCUGGCAGCUGGCAUGUGCUGCUGGGAGUGGUUUUCUGGUUGUGAAGUUUUGCUUCUACUUAGGUGUGGGGUCCUAGAGUGGAGUGCUUAAAAGCUACCUGUCCUUGCUGUUAUUAAAUUCCUUUUCCCACGGUGGAACUGCAGAAGAGGCACUAUGCAAUAACCUGUGAUCAGGAUCCCAGUUAUGUGCUGGAUAGGCAGCUGAAGAAGCUCCUAGACCUGUCUUUCCAUGAUUUGGACAGAGCCUAUAGAUAAGCAUGAAAGUCGAUCUGUUGGUGAAAGCUCUGGAGAGGUGCAGAGACAGGGAGGAAACGAGGCACCAUCCCACUGAAAUCAGCAGGACUCUGUGGUGCUCUGAGAAAGGCAUACAUAUGCCUGGAUCAAGUUGAUAUUUACAGAAGGCUCCUUUUGAAUUGGCUUUUGAUUAUACACCUAUGUCAGAGGGUGGACAGUGAGACUCAGUGUGACUUGUUUCCAUGAGAGAAAGAUGGUGAAAGAUUGUGAAGCUCCCCUUGCGAUUAAAACUGUUGAAACAGCUGUUAUCUGGUAGCUGCUCUCACCGGGCAGUUUCCUGAUGUCAGUCAGCGGCUGUGGGGCUGCAGCAGCAAUUGGAGCCUGAGGAGAGGCAGCCGCACCCCGGCUGUCCCCACACCCUGAAGGAGCUGCCCACGUUGUGCAGUGAACCCCAUUGCACAAGGGGUGAAUCCGGGCACUGCAGCAAUGGAGACACAGAACCCACUGUCGAAAGCCAAUGAAUGCUGAAAUUAAGACACUGCUGGAAAGUUGACCGAAGCGAGGGUCUGCAUUUAAAAAACAGAAACAGAGCACCUUCACCACCUAAUGGGAAGGUGGAUGAGGAUAAGAUGAGCAAGGAGGAAGCAAAUAGGAAGCGUUGCUUAAUGUCAUAAUGAAUGGAACUGAAGAAGAGAAGGGCCACAGCUCUGAGAUGAGAUGGGUGGUGCUCUGGAGUGCCCAGUGUGGUCUCUGAAGUAAGCAUCCAGGCCCAAGUGAAGAAAAGAGAGAUUGAAAUGGAAUUGGGGAAAACAAAGUUACUGGGAUUCUUCAAGACAAGGAGGGCAUGUCUCCUGGAGUCAGCACUGAAGCACUGUCUUACUUAGCCACCAGCCAAGCAGACUUAUAGUGACAGCAUUUGUUUUUUGUGUGCCUAACACAGGAGAAAAGAAAAGUAAAUUGCUGGUGAAUGAUGAAUGUAUAUAACAUUUGCCAUGUACCAGAAUAACAAGUUUCAGUAACAGCAUCCCUAAAAAGAAAAAAAGAGGCAAUGAGGGUAAAUAAAACAAACCAUUCCUAAGAUGAAGUGGAUGUGCUUCUGAAAAAGCCUGGACAAGUUGGACUCUGAUAAAAUACUUCUAGAACUACUGUCCCAUGAAACAGGAGGGGUACAGAGCUGAGGUGGGAGCCAGGGACUCCAAGAUGCUUCCAACCAAUUGUUAGUGCAGCAGCCUGGUUUGUAUAAGAGGAUGGGUGAACAAGGGGUAUAAAGCAGAGAGGAACAGAGAAAAAUCAAGCGCAUAACAUAAAAUAUGUCUUCAUCUAACCCAUGAAAUAGCAGAAGAUCCACAAACUGUGAUGCUAAACAGCCUUAUGUAAGUGAUUACAUGAAGCAGCUGUAACACAAGCCUGUAGAUAUGGAGAAGGACUCCAAAGGGAGUAAAUAGAAAUACAGACAAGGCCAGGAAGCUAACGGUGAAGGUAGGUUGCUUUGCUGAGGAUUCUUUAAACAAAGAAACAAAAAAAUUAGAGGCAUUUCCAUACAAAAAUACAACCAAUUCCAUUGCCAGGCAAACUCUCACUGGAUCCAAAAGGCUGAAGCAAAACUCUGGUUCUAGACAGAGAACCAUUCCAUAAUCUACAAGGAGGCUUCACAUUCUGAGUUUUUUAAGACUGCUUUUUAGCUACACAAGGCCUUAUUUCCAGAGAGCAGAGAACCUCUGGCUGCAGGGAGAGCUGCCAGAAUCUACACUACACCAAAAGGGUCUUAAAAGAAUUAUCCCAGGCAGAAGAAGCAGAUUUCUCUUGAAGACAGAAUAAGCAUGGGGCCAACAGCUCUCUUUUCCUCUAGCAAAUACUGGGAUGAGCCCACUAAUAUUCAAGAGGUAGCCAGCACUUUGCAUUGCAAGAAGCAACAUUCAGCUGCUUCUAUUUGCAGCAAUUUUAAAUUUUCUAAGUGUAACGCUACAAUGGGAUGGAAAGUAGUGCAAUAGCAGCAAUGUGGCAAAGCCUUUGGCUACAGCAAGUGAGAACAAGCCCAAAAGCAGCAGCCAGGGAUAAAGAAAUGAAGUAAAACAUCGCUUACCUUUGCAAGGCCACAGGUAGGUAGGAAUCUCCAGCAAGAGAUACCCUUAGCUCCACUGCCAACCCUUAAAUGAGGUAUGGGAGGGGGUGGAUCCUGGCUCCACCCCUUCUGGCCACUCAGCUACAUUGCACACACCUGGGCUCCCCUGGGCCUUCCUACCAGGUGCUCAAUCACUGCUUCAGGCCAUGACUCAGCAUUGCUGCUAUGCUAAGUAAAUUUUAUUUUAAUUUAAACUGAAAUCCCAAGUCCCUAUUUCUACCAAGGAAUGCUCAGAGCUUUGCAUUGGGCAUGGCAUAUAAAGGUUUUAAGUUUUCCCCAAAGUCUUCUGUAUGACAGCUACUUGAGGACCAGUUGGGUGCCACUGUGUCAAUCAUCCUCAUCCCAGAAGUAAAAUCCUUUAUCAUCCUCUCCCACCAGAGAAGUACAAAAUGAGAUCAAAGAUAAUAGAUAUGUCAUUUAGUAAUGGUAGUAGAAUAGGAACACUUUAAAGGAGGGUCCACCAUGGUCAAGGAGCUACUUGCAGCUCAACGUGCUUUGAUGCAGUUCUUGGAGCUGGCCGUCUGUGUAACUGAAGACCUGGUCCAGAGCGCCUAAGGGCAAUGGAUGUGUUGCCAUUGACUCAACUGAUAACAAGGUGAAAUCUUAUCUCCCUGCAGUGAAUCUGAUAUGCCUUUGUUCUGUACUUCACCAUCACUAUGUUUAGAGGGCCAGCUCUUUGCAGCUGGGUACCUAAACCUAGAUAUACUCCUGAAAUCCACCAGAUAUACAGGUGAGCUCUUCAAGCAACUGACAGAGUAAAACAGUAGAAAUAGUAAGAAUAAUGAUACGAUGGUGAACAGACAGCACUGUGAGUGAGGAUCCUUUGAAAUCCAUUAGCAACAGAAUAAGAGGAGUUUCAGUGCGCCAGAGUUUGCUGUGUUUCAUUGUGUAAUUCCACGAAGUUCUGCUUCUCCUUCAUUUCAGAAAGACCACUCAGCAGCCUCUGGCUUCUACGUUUUAGUUUUUCUCAUCUACUAGCCAGAAAAAGAAACACACAACUAGGAGCUGUAUUCACAGACAGGAAGUAACUUUAAUUAAAUAUUGUGAAAGUUGAAAAGUUUUUACAGCUUGAGUUUCUGCAAAAAAAUUAUAACAAUCUCUACAGUAGUUAGUUUCUCUAACAAUAGAACUGUACAGUGUGUGUGUCUAUUCAAAAAGAUUUAGAUAAGAAGGUGAAAGGUUAGUAGGUUCAGAGAUGACUUCAUUUUAGCUGCAUUCUAGUACAACUGUGAGGAAAUAGGCAUACUUGAUGCAAUCCAGUCUUUGUGAAGCUUCACCUUUUUAAAACUGAAAUCUGGACGUUUCCACUUAAAGCCAUAUUCUGUAAACAGCUGCAUCUUUUACUUUGUAAAAGAUAAGAGUGGUGUGGGGCCAGGGGGAAGGGGGGGGGGGCGUUAUAAAGUCCCAUUGAACAGACCACUACAAAUAGCUGCAACAAAACAAAAUGAUGCACACUGUCAGAGGAUCUUUGGACACUGGCGUAGAAGACUACAAACAUAGAUGGCCAACACUGGUGUAAAAAUCGCUAUGACUUUGAGUGGAGCUCUACAAGAGUAAUUGAUGGUGUCACUGGACAAAAUAUGGCUUUAAAUUUGAUUACACUGUCGUGCUGUUGCUUACUAUGUGAAUUAGAAUAACCGCUUGGAAUACAGAGAAGCAAUAAACUGAUGUCUCUCACAUU